AUGAGAAUUGAUGUUGUAGGACAGCUCCCUUCUAAGAUACGGUAACGAGAGGAGCAUCAUAAGGGUUGGGUGUCACCAUGUAUGUCAGAUUCCACGUGACUACAUACGCCCGUAAUGAAAAGUACCUAUGGCAUCAAGCAUUCGACAAGUGACCUUCGUUUUCCUGCUCUGCAUGUCUGUCAUGGUUUUCACUUUUGUUUACCUUACAAAGGAGCCCGUCCUGAAGAAUUUCAUGAUUCAAAAACAGUCAUAUCAAUAUCAAUCAUUUUUAGGAAAUAGUAUUACACCGUGUUUUAGGAGCAGCCUCCUAUCUGGACACAGCGAUUCAACUUCAAUAGUCACAGAAAUUAAAGAGAAAAGACAGAAUACUGGAAAAGACGGACCUGAAAGAAUUGAUCAAAUUCAUCUUAGAAAAUCGGGAAAAGGUAAUGAUAAAACGGUUUCAAAGGAAACCGUCGUCAGCAAUCCUAGGUAUGUCAUUGGUAAGGAAGAUCAACACUUUCAAGAAAAGCUUACUUCAUCCCCAGGUACACGGAUGACGAAUCAUUUCGGACAAGAAACAGAUACCAAUCGAUUUCUUUUUCCUAAAUAUCUAGGAAGAUUGGGCAAUAUCAUGUUUAUAUACGCAUCAUGUUAUAGUCUUGCUCUCGACAACAAUCUAAGUCUCUUUUUAUCAAAAACCGACAAAAUAUACCAACCAUUUGCCAAUAUACCGGUCGCCACAUCACCUAAUGUAACACUUUGUAGGAGGGAAAUAGUAUCCUUUAACCAAACACGGCCAAGAUAUUUUGAACAGUUUCGCUUAUCUGAAGCAAACGCGUCGUGUUUGCGAAUAGAAGGUUUUCUUCAGUCAUGGAAGUAUUUUAAAGAUCAUUUCGACGAUAUCAGAUAUCAAUUCACCUGGAGAACGUCCAUUAGAGAAAAGGCUAUACAUAAAAUAGAAAGACUAAAAAAUGCAAACAUGGCCUAAUUUACCUUCCUCUAAAAUUACAACUGUAGGUAUCCACGUCCGUCGGGGUGAUUACGUCACGGAAAAACGACCGAUGGCGGAUCGUGAAUACUUUGAAUAUGCAAAGAGAUAUUUUCUGAAGACAUUUUCAAAAGUUCUUUUUAUUGUAACAACAUCGCCCAACGAAAGAGACCGGAUGUGGUGCAUAAACAACAUACAAAACGGAAGUGGCGUUACAGUAUUAUCAAGUUCCAAAGAUUCAUUUGUUGACAUGGCUUUGCUUUCAUUGACGGAUCACGUGAUCAUUUCGACUGGUACGUUUGGCUGGUGGGCGGGGUUUUUGAACAAAGGGCACGUAUUUUAUUUUGAUUGGAUCCCAUUGAAUCACAGUCGUUUUAACCGAAAAGAUUACAUUUUACCCCACUGGAUUGGAAUAAAAGCUAUAAACAUUGAUGAAAACAAUACGACUGUUUACCGAACUGUUACGUCAUAAUGAGGCGAUUGAGUAAAUGCAUUUUUCAAGGGGUUUAGUACAUUUAAGCAUUGAACUGUUACCAAAUGGUAGUAUACAGUCGAUAUGAAUACAAUUUGGGUGACAGAUAAAUAGAAUGUCGCCCUUUAGCGCAGAUUAGAAUCCUUCAAACACUUUUUUGACUCGGAAUAAUAUUACAAUCUAGUAGAGAAAACAGAUAUCCGGAAAUCUUUUUAUAUAUAUUACUGGUAAAAUAUAAUUAGUAUUGAAGAAAAUAAUAACAAACAUAAUGAUGUGUAAGUGUGUUUUUGAUAGUGUAUGGCGAAUGAGUCUCCUCCUGCGUGUGGACAAUUUUUUUGUAAAAUGUUGUCUUUUUUUGAAAAAAAAAUUUUGAACCUAAAAAAAAAAAAAAAUAAUUGACAAAAUGCAAGCAAGAAUGUGCUCCGAAGUUUAAGUCAUCAUUCUAUCAUUGAUGUGAGACGACAAUGGAUGUCAUAGUCACAACAAUACCCUAACGAGAACAUGGUGAGGCAUAAGCCAUACAUGUAUGAAAAGAUAAUAAAAUGUUUUUGUUAAAAAAAAAAAAAAAAAAAAAACGAUUUCAAAGAUAUUUCGUUCGAAACAGAUUCAAGUCUAACCAGUCGCAUCUUAGCAGACGAUUUUCAACUUCACAGGGGGCUUGAUUUUGUAAGGUAGGCCUUUAACAUCAGUGAAUAACCACAAAACUAAAAUCCAAUAUACAUACACAACCGGAAAACAUGUCGAUGCUCCCGAUUUUUCACAAGAUUUUUAUUUUAUUAUUUUUUAUAAAUACUAGACUUUUAAUGUUAUCGUGUCUUACAUUUCUGAAAAUUCGGAAACGAGCCCCUGUGAGUGUGACGACAUUGGCAAUUUGAUAAUUCUUAGAUCAAGAACGGCGCUUAUAGUUAUUUUGUGUUGACUACAUUUUGUUUUAAUUAUACAAUAUUACUCUCAUAACUUGUGAAGUUGCUUAUUUUUUGUGUUGUGGAUAAUAAAUGCUAGCAUUCGAAAUCUCUCCAGGCCGAAAGUAACUGGCGGCCAUUGUUUUGACCAGCAACACCUGGGGCUGUAUUCCUACUCUGACCGAAUCACUGUAAAUUGUAGUAUACAGUAUCAUGAAUACAAUUUUGUUUACUAACGAUAUAUAGGCAAAUGCAACACAGAAUGUAAAUAUAGCUACAUAGCCUGUGAUUAAACGUUUCUGAAUAUCUUUAUUUGCGAAAGUCUACCUCGCAAGAUCUGACGUCUGGCGAUAAUAAAAACGUAUCGGUACCAUUAAA